GACGAACGCUGGCGGCGUGCUUAACACAUGCAAGUCGAACGGAAAGGCCCUGCUUGCAGGGUACUCGAGUGGCGAACGGGUGAGUAACACGUGGGUGAUCUGCCCUGCACUUCGGGAUAAGCCUGGGAAACUGGGUCUAAUACCGGAUAGGAGCCAUUUUUAGUGUGAUGGUUGGAAAGUUUUUUCGGUGUAGGAUGAGCUCGCGGCCUAUCAGCUUGUUGGUGGGGUAAUGGCCUACCAAGGCGGCGACGGGUAGCCGGCCUGAGAGGGUGGACGGCCACAUUGGGACUGAGAUACGGCCCAGACUCCUACGGGAGGCAGCAGUGGGGAAUAUUGCACAAUGGGCGCAAGCCUGAUGCAGCGACGCCGCGUGGGGGAUGACGGCCUUCGGGUUGUAAACUCCUUUCGCUAGGGACGAAGCUUUUUGUGACGGUACCUAGAGAAGAAGCACCGGGUAACUACGUG
rnacentral:rRNA from 1 species